rnacentral:rRNA from 1 species
GAUGAACGCUGGCGGCGUGCCUAAUACAUGCAAGUCGAGCGAACGGACGAGAAGCUUGCUUCUCUGGUGUUAGCGGCGGACGGGUGAGUAACACGUGGAUAACCUACCUAUAAGACUGGGAUAACUUCGGGAAACCGGAGCUAAUACCGGAUAAUAUUUUGAACCGCAUGGUUCAAAAGUGAAAGACGGUCUUGCUGUCACUUAUAGAUGGAUCCGCGCUGCAUUAGCUAGUUGGUAAGGUAACGGCUUACCAAGGCAACGAUGCAUAGCCGACCUGAGAGGGUGAUCGGCCACACUGGAACUGAGACACGGCCCAGACUCCUACGGGAGGCAGCAGUAGGGAAUCUUCCGCAAUGGGCGGAAGCCUGACGGAGCAACGCCGCGUGAGUGAUGAAGGUCUUCGGAUCGUAAAACUCUGUUAUUAGGGAAGAACAUAUGUGUAAGUAACUGUGCACAUCUUGACGGUACCUAAUCAGAAAGCCACGGCUAACUACGUG